GCGUGGAGGAUGACGGCCCUUGGGUUGUAAACUCCUUUUUUCAGGGAAGAGAAUGGACGGUACCUGAAGAAUAAGUCACGGCUAACUACGUGCCAGCAGCCGCGGUAAUACGUAGGUGGCGAGCGUUAUCCGGAAUUACUGGGCGUAAAGCGCACGCAGGCGGCUUUCUAAGUUUGACGUGAAAGCUCCCGGCUUAACUGGGAGAGGUCGUUGAAUACUGGAAGGCUUGAGGCAAUGAGAGGGGUGCAGAAUUCCCGGUGUAGUGGUGGAAUGCGUAGAUAUCGGGGGGAAUACCAGUGGCGAAAGCGGCACCCUAGCGUUGUACUGACGCUCAUGUGCGAAAGCGUGGGGAGCGAACGGGAUUAGAUACCCCGGUAGUCCACGCUGUAAACGAUGAACACUAGGUGUAGGUGAUGUGAAAGUUAUCUGUACCGAAGCCAACGCGUUAAGUGUUCCGCCCGGGGACUACGGCCGCAAGGUUAAAACUCAAAGGAAUUGACGGGUGCCCGCACAAGCAGCGGAGCGUGUGGUUUAAUUCGAUGCUACACGAAGAACCUUACCUGGGUUUGACAUAUACGUGGUAGAGAACGGAAACGGGAUCGACCCUUCGGGGAGCGUAUACAGGUGCUGCAUGGCUGUCGUCAGCUCGUGUCGUGAGAUGUCCGGUUAAGUCCGGUAACGAGCGCAACCCCUGCUGUAUGUUACAUGUGUCAUACGGGACUGCCGGUAUCAAGCCGGAGGAAGGUGGGGAUGACGUCAAGUCAGCAUGGCCUUUAUAUCCAGGGCUACACACACGCUACAAUGGUCGGUACAACGGGUUGCAAGACCGCAAGGUGGAGCCAAUCCUCAAAAUCGGCCUCAGUUCAGAUUGCAGGCUGCAACUCGCCUGCAUGAAGUCGGAGUUGCUAGUAACCGCGCGUCAGCAUUAGUGCGGUGAAUACGUUCCCGGGCGUUGUACACACCGCCCGUCACGUCAUGGAAGCUGAUAACACCUGAAGUCGGUAUCCUAACCGCAAGGAGGGAGCCGCCCAAGGUGGGAUUGGUAACUGGGACG
rnacentral:rRNA from 1 species